rnacentral:sRNA from 1 species
AUUGUUAACAAAUGUCUAUGCUAAUUUUAAGGGAUUGAUUUGAAUUUUGUUGGGAUUAAAUUUGAUUGAUAAUGUGAUUGACUAUUUAAAUCAAAAAUUUAAAAUAAAAUUAAUUAUUUUGGAAAAAAGAUUUAAUGCUAAUGGCAUUAGAUUGUAAAUAAGUUCAAGUCCAGGAUUUAUUUGCUAAAAUGGUUGCAAAAAUGUAUAUAUAGAUAGUGUAAAAAUAAAUUG